rnacentral:rRNA from 1 species
UACUCGCGGUCCAAGUCGCGGCCAUAUUUAUUGGGUCUAAAACAUCCGUAGCUUGCUAAGUAAGUCUCUUGUGAAAUUUCACAUCUUAAGUGUGAAGCGUGCAGGAGGUACUGCCUAGCUAGAGACUGGUAGACGUAAGAAGUACGUUUUAAGUAGUGGUAAAAUACGUUAAUCUAAAGCGGACUAACAACAGCGAAGGCAUCUUACGAGAACAGUUCUGACAGUAAGGGACGAAGGCUAGGGGCGCAAAACGG